GAGCGGCCGGAAGAACGAUGUCAUCCGGACGCGGCCGGGUGACAUCGUUCUUGAGCGACGACGGCGUGAUGAACUAGCGUUCAUUCGGCGCUCUUAAUUUGGUGUCGGCGGCGACGGCGUGUGACGCAAUUUCAACGGGGAUCGGGCCAGCCGCCCCAUUUGCGCAUGUCGAGGGGUGUAACCCGUGUGGCGCGCGUCCUUGUUUCGGCGUUCGGAAUUCACCGUCAUCGAUUGAGGCCCGAGUCUCUUUUCCACCAUUUCUUGGAUGGAUCAUAACAGGGGGGGCAAUCAUUUGGAG